rnacentral:rRNA from 1 species
UGCGUAGGCGUCCAGGAAAGUUAUUUGUUAAAUCCUUCGGCUUAACCGAAGUUCUGCAAGUAAAACUACCUGGAUAGAGUUUAAGAGGGGAAAAUGGAAUUCCUGGUGUAGCGGUGACAUGCGUAGAUAUCAGGAGGAACAUCGAUAGCGAAGGCAGUUUUCUGGCUUAAAACUGACGCUGAGGCACGAAAGCGUGGGGAGCAAACAGGAUUAGAUACCCUGGUAGUCC